CCCAGGGUUGGCGUGAAGUUGGAGGGAGAGAGACAGUGACUGUAGAGAAGCCGCAUGAAGUGCAAAUGUGGCUGUAGGAACACUUUGCUAACUUCCCUGGGUGUUCAGAUUCUUAAGGGAAUUUGGCACGCCCAGGUGCGCGCUGAGGUGUGACAUAGGGGAAGAGGAAGAUCUGGCACCUGCUCUAACUCCAGUCUUGCCAACACACAGGAAACACUUGGCAAGUCACGGCCCUGCCUCGGGGAAGAGAACAGUCUGGGAAGCUUCAAGACAGCUUGACACGGGGGAGGUCCGGGGGCUGACUGGGAUAAGACUCAGGUGGUGAGAAGUCAGGGGCAUCUGGGUAUGGAGCGGUGGUGUGGGCGAAGGUUUAGUGGGGAUGUAUUGAGGAGAGCCGCUGGCCAGAGGAGAGUGCAGACGGAAUAAGGAAGAAUAAGAAAAGGUUGCCCUGAGUACAGUGGGGCAGGCUGCAAAACCUUAAAAGUUCACAGAAGUUUGUCUUCUUGAGGCUCAAUGCUGUGGGGAGUAGGGAGCCCUGGGAGGUUCUUGGGCAGAGAAAUGACAGCUGGACCCUGAGAAAGCAAGACCUGUCCCUUACGGAGCACUGCAGGUGGCCCUCUGAGCACGCCAGGCACGAGUGUGCAGGGAGCUGGUGCAAACGCCUCCUGUGUCCGGGCGAGCUUCUGUGUUGUGACUCAGCCCGCGCGUGUGCUUCAAUGUGCCGAGUGGCUGCAUGCCCCGGAUCCGUGCUGCACGUGCCGGCCAGUGAGGGUGCUGGGCAGCGGGAGGCGGGGGAGGUGUGUACGUGUGCGUGUUGUUUGUGGGCAUGUGUCAGCGUGCGCAUGCGGGGCCAGGGGGCCUCACAGCAUGUGUGUGCACGCCCGGGCGUGUGCGUGUGCGUGACCCCACCCCCCCAGGCCUGCCCCGUCCGUGCGUGUGAACUGCCAUGUUGAUUUCGUGCUGUCUUUCAGAAUCACUAUCAGUGACCCCUGAGGAGCGUCAGCCACGGUAGGUACAUACAUGCCUCUCUGCCUGCUGCAUGAACGGUGUGUCUGCCCCCCGCUGCACCAGCUCCACAUUGGGGGGCGCACCCGGGACCUCAGAGCCAGGCUCCCCUCCCUCUCCCUUCUGCAGCUCCAGACUUAUUCUUUCCUCUUUCUGUCCUUGCUGCCAGCUGGCUCUCUCACCUCCCUUCUCAGCGAGCCUCGGGACUCAGUGCCACUGCUCAAGACCUCCAUGGCUGAGCCUGGGGAGCUCUUGGGACAGGCUCCGCACCCAGGCUGGCAGACAUGGGUGCUCUCUGGAGCCGUCAGGGAGGGCAGAGAGCUCACGGUUUAUGGUGUAGAGGCAGGGAACUCGGAGGGGGCGGGCGUCGUUGUGCGUGGGGCUGGACUCAGACAGCCAGAGGCCUUGGAACUUCAUCCUGGGGAUGCCACGCUCAUUCCCCCAUCUGAGCUGUGCUGUUGGGGCAAGGAGCUCUGGGAACCGAAUCCACGAUAGGGCAGAGGAGGUCGGAGCCCCAUCUCCUCUAUCAGAUAGCCAGCGAUUGAGCAGCAAUCUGGGGCCAAGGCUCCGGUUAUGUGCUGAUUUCUGAAAGCUGGAGGGCCCUGUCCACACCUCACAGGUGAGGCAGGGUCACACGGCCCCUUCCCCUACCUCCUUGGUGUUGUCACGCCUGUGAAGGCACACUACAAACCACAGCGUCCUCGGCCCUAGACGAAGCACCAUAGCCCGUCCACGGGCUCAUGGGCUUGGGCCUGUUCCUCCUAGGGGUGACCUACACUUUUCAGCCAAGGGGACAACAGUGUCCACUGACCUGAGCCUAGUCAACUUCUCCGAGUCCCACCCUGUCUGGGCCGCACAUUCACCCAGCGACCCGCCUGUCACUCUGCCCCUGCCGCUGACUCUUGCUCUUCUGCUUUUCCCCAGCAGGAAGGGCCCAGCCUCACCUACGCGACCUGUGGUCCCCCGACCAGCUGAGGCUCCCCUCUUAGACUUAUAAGCCUGUGGCCAACUGGCAUCCGGCUGCCUGACCUCCCUGCCUCCCCAGGGUCCCUUCCGAGGACUCCGGGCUUUCUGCCCGCCCAGAGGGGUUUCCAGUGCCCCCUCCAGCCAUCCUUUUAGCUUCGCCCUCCUGGCUCAAACAGUGUUCUUUCUCCUGUCUCUCUCCAUGAGGACUGGUAGCUGUGGCCACAGGGCACGCGGCCCCACACUCCAAGGCUAGGGGUGGCCCUGGGCCAGUACGUUGGAAGACAAGGGGGCC
rnacentral:lncRNA from 1 species